rnacentral:rRNA from 1 species
GGGAAUCUUCCACAAUGGACGCAAGUCUGAUGGAGCAACGGCCGCGUGAGUGAAGAAGGCUUUCGGGUCGUAAAACUCUGUUAUUGAAGAAGAACGUGUGUGACAGUAACUGGUCAUGCAGUGACGGUAUUCAAUCAGAAAGUCACGGCUAACUACGUGCCAGCAGCCGCGGUAAUACGUAGGUGGCAAGCGUUGUCCGGAUUUAUUGGGCGUAAAGCGAGUGCAGGCGGUCUUUUAAGUCUGAUGUGAAAGCCUUCGGCUUAACCGAAGAAGGGCAUCGGAAACUGGGAGACUUGAGUGCAGAAGAGGAGAGUGGAACUCCAUGUGUAGCGGUGAAAUGCGUAGAUAUAUGGAAGAACACCAGUGGCGAAGGCGGCUCUCUGGUCUGUAACUGACGCUGAGGCUCGAAAGCGUGGGUAGCAAACAGGAUUAGAUACCCUGGUAGUCCACGCCGUAAACG